rnacentral:rRNA from 1 species
GACGAACGCUGGCGGCGUGCCUAAUACAUGCAAGUAGAACGCUGAGGUUUGGUGUUUACACUAGACUGAUGAGUUGCGAACGGGUGAGUAACGCGUAGGUAACCUGCCUCAUAGCGGGGGAUAACUAUUGGAAACGAUAGCUAAUACCGCAUAAGAGUAAUUAACACAUGUUAGUUAUUUAAAAGGAGCAAUUGCUUCACUGUGAGAUGGACCUGCGUUGUAUUAGCUAGUUGGUGAGGUAAAGGCCCACCAAGGCGACGAUACAUAGCCGACCUGAGAGGGUGAUCGGCCACACUGGGACUGAGACACGGCCCAGACUCCUACGGGAGGCAGCAGUAGGGAAUCUUCGGCAAUGGACGGAAGUCUGACCGAGCAACGCCGCGUGAGUGAAGAAGGUUUUCGGAUCGUAAAGCUCUGUUGUUAGAGAAGAACGUUGGUAGGAGUGGAAAAUCUACCAAGUGACGGUAACUAACCAGAAAGGGACGGCUAACUACGUGCCAGCAGCCGCGGUAAUACGUAGGUCCCGAGCGUUGUCCGGAUUUAUUGGGCGUAAAGCGAGCGCAGGCGGUUCUUUAAGUCUGAAGUUAAAGGCAGUGGCUUAACCAUUGUACGCUUUGGAAACUGGAGGACUUGAGUGCAGAAGGGGAGAGUGGAAUUCCAUGUGUAGCGGUGAAAUGCGUAGAUAUAUGGAGGAACACCGGUGGCGAAAGCGGCUCUCUGGUCUGUAACUGACGCUGAGGCUCGAAAGCGUGGGGAGCAAACAGG